rnacentral:rRNA from 1 species
CAUGCAGUCGAGCGGUAACAGGAGAAAGCUUGCUUUCUUGCUGACGAGCGGCGGACGGGUGAGUAAUGUAUGGGGAUCUGCCCGAUAGAGGGGGAUAACUACUGGAAACGGUGGCUAAUACCGCAUGACGUCUACGGACCAAAGCAGGGGCUCUUCGGACCUUGCGCUAUCGGAUGAACCCAUAUGGGAUUAGCUAGUAGGUGGGGUAAAGGCUCACCUAGGCGACGAUCUCUAGCUGGUCUGAGAGGAUGAUCAGCCACACUGGGACUGAGACACGGCCCAGACUCCUACGGGAGGCAGCAGUGGGGAAUAUUGCACAAUGGGCGCAAGCCUGAUGCAGCCAUGCCGCGUGUAUGAAGAAGGCCUUAGGGUUGUAAAGUACUUUCAGCGGGGAGGAAGGUGUUAAGAUUAAUUUCUU